AGUCGGCCGGACGGCCGCCGCGCGAGCGGAGGAAAGUCCGGGCUCCAUACGGAAACGGCGCCGGAUAACGUCCGGCGGGGGCGACCCCAGGGAAAGCGCCACAGAAAGCAAACCGCCUCGAUCGCCGCAAGGCCGGGGUAAGGGUGAAAGGGUGCGGCAAGAGCGCACCGCGUCGGCGGCAACGUCGACGGCAUGGCAAGCCCCGCCGGGAGCAAAACCGAAUAGGAGCGACGCGCGGCUUUCGGGCCGCGGGGCCCUUCCGUAGGCCCUGUCGCUCGGGUUGGUUGCUUGAGGCGCCCGGCGACGGGCGUCCCAGAGGAAUGGCCGUCACGUCGGAGCGCGAGCUCCGGCCAUACAGAACCCGGCUUACAGGCCGGCUGG
rnacentral:RNase_P_RNA from 1 species